GAACCAUGUUGAGGACAUUUCCGCAGGAGAUCCUUGAACCUUUCCCAUGUCUCAAAGAGAUAUUCCAAUUCUAUUUGCAUAAAAGAGGAGAUUUCAUUCCUGAGCUU